GAUGAACGCUAGCGGCAUGCCUAAUACAUGCAAGUCGAACGAGAUACAACUUUGUAUCUAGUGGCGAACGGGUGAGUAAUGCAUGGGAAUCUACCUAGAAGUUUGGGAUAACUAUUAGAAAUAGUACCUAAUACCGGAUACACCCUGAGGGGGAAAGUUGACUUUUAGUCUUCGCUUUUAGAUGAGCCCAUGUUAAAUUAGUUAGUUGGUGGGAUAAUAGCCUACCAAGACGAUGAUUUAUAGCUGGUCUUAGAGGAUGAUCAGCCACACUGGAAUUGAGAUACGGUUCAGACUCCUACGGGGAGGCAGCAGUGGGGGGAAUAUUGGACAAUGGGCGCAAGCCUGAUCCAGUCAUGCCACGUGAGUGAUGAAGGUCUUAGGAUUGUAAAACUC
rnacentral:rRNA from 1 species